AUGAACGAGGAGCUGGGCCAAGUAUACACGAUUCUCACGGAUAAGACUGGGACUUUGAGAGUACGUAUAAUGUGCAGUAUAAUGUACGAGAGGCUGUCAAACUCUCAGAGUACGUAUGGUGAAGCGACACAGAAGCACAUAAAUGAUUACGCUGAUGCUGGCCUGAGGACACUAGUUCUUGCAUACCGUCAACUUGAGGAGAUCGAAUACACUAAAUUCGAAAGGAACUUCACAGCAGCUAAGAAUUCUGUCAGCGCUGAUCGGGAUGAGCUGAUUGACGAAGCGACAGAUUUGAUAGAGAGGGAUUUGAUUCUGUUUGGAGCCACCGCCGUUGAGGACAAGCUGCAAAAGGGGGCCGGCAUCAAGAUAUGGGUGCUGACGGGCGACAAGACGGAGACCGCCCUCAACAUCGGAUAUGCCUGCAGUCUACUCAGACAAGGGAUGAAACAAAUAACCAUCACACUGGAUACACCAGAUAUCAUUGCCUUGGAGAAAGGUGGUGACAAAGGAGCCAUUAAUAAGAUGAUGCAACAAAAUGCAAACGGUCGACUUCGACUUAAUCCACCAUCAUCGAUGGCAAGCGUCACGUUCCCGACGACGGAGUCCAUGAUGGAACUCUUCGCGAUCCCCGGCUUCUCUAAUCUCUGGCUGAAGCCCCCUGGCUCCCCGACGACCCUGAUCCGGUGGUUGUUCUUCCGCGGAGCCUGGGAAGUCAAGUUGACUCCCGAUGAUUUCAUCAGGGGCGUACCUAACAGUGUCAUUGUCUGGAUCUCUCCCCAUGGCGGCUCAAGCUUCGCCUCACGCAUCAACGUGUCGAUAGAAAUCCUAGACAACACCUGGGAGCGCACCAUCUUCCACGAGGAGCACGAACUCGGCGGUGACAUCCCGCUCGUGUCCGUGAAGCUCAAUAGGAGCGAUCUGGAGGUGACAUCUUGCGUUCACAACGACAACAUCCCCGUGAGGUGCACUCUCACGUUCAUCGACACGAAGAAGCAGAAGAGGCAAAAGAAGGCAGCAGCUAGAUCCAAAUGGUGGCGCCGGCUUAGAGGAAGCUUAUAUCGAAAUCUGCUAGCUCUAAAGUGCAACUCCAACCUUUCUAAGGCAUCAAUGAUGAUGGCCGAUGAAAAGUAUGAUGUGAUACCCUACAGCUGCCCGUCGCCGUCGACGAUUCACCACUCGAUCACGAUCUCGGGCUACUCAAAAUUUGCACAGAUGCCAACCGCGUCGUUGCUGACUGUGCGCAAGUUUCGCUUCAUCGGUUUCGCUUGGUGCAUCAUACUCUACCCCAAUGGAUCUAACGAAACUUCAGCCGACUCCAUCUCCAUCAAAGCAGUGAGACACUCAACAAGCGACAUCUCCGUCGUGCACUCAGAUUCAGGGAUCGACAUCGCCAUCCAAAUCUUGGACAAGAGCAACAAGCACGCUCUCUUCUACAGGAAGCAGAUGCUAGGCGGCCACAACUUCGUGUUCAACCCCUUAAUCGUCAAGAAGACAGAGCUAGAGGCGGCGUCGUGCCUAAAUGAAGAUAGCUUCACCAUCGACUGCACCCUAACGUUUGUUAUUGACAGGAAGCAGCAGCAAGAAGAGAAAGGGAAGAUAACAACAAUGGUAGGAGGAGAUGACCCAUGUCCCUGGAACAAUGGCAACACCGACGACUAG
rnacentral:rRNA from 1 species